rnacentral:rRNA from 1 species
UGGGGAAUAUUGGACAAUGGGGGGAACCCUGAUCCAGCCAUGCCGCGUGUGUGAAGAAGGCCUUAUGGUUGUAAAGCACUUUAAGCGAGGAGGAGGGUACUGGUAUUAAUACUACCAGCUACUGGACGUUACUCGCAGAAUAAGCACCGACUAACUCUGUGCCAGCAGCCGCGGUAAUACAGAGGGUGCGAGCGUUAAUCGGAUUUACUGGGCGUAAAGCGUGCGUAGGCGGCUAAUUGAGUCGGAUGUGAAAUCCCCGAGCUUAACUUGGGAAUUGCAUUCGAUACUGGUUAGCUAGAGUGUGGGAGAGGAUGGUAGAAUUCCAGGUGUAGCGGAGAAAUGCGUAGAGAUCUGGAGGAAUACCGAUGGCGAAGGCAACCAUCUGGCCUAACACUGACGCUGAGGUACGAAAGCGUGGGGAGCAAACAGG